rnacentral:rRNA from 1 species
GAUGAACGCUAGCUACAGGCUUAACACAUGCAAGUCGAACGAAGAAGGUUGGAAUGAGAGCUUCGGCAGGAUUUCUUUCCAUCUUAGUGGCGGACGGGUGAGUAACGUGUGGGCAACCUGCCCUGUACUGGGGAAUAAUCAUUGGAAACGAUGACUAAUACCGCAUGUGGUUCUCGGAAGGCAUCUUCUGAGGAAGAAAGGAUUUAUUCGGUACAGGAUGGGCCCGCAUCUGAUUAGCUAGUUGGUGAGAUAACAGCCCACCAAGGCGACGAUCAGUAGCCGACCUGAGAGGUGAUCGGCCACAUUGGGACUGAGACACGGCCCAA